ACUGUCAGGUGGGCAGUUUGACUGGGGCGGUCGCCUCCCAAAAGGUAACGGAGGCGCUCAAAGGUUCUCUCAGUACGGUCGGCAAUCGUACGUAGAGUGUAAAGGCAAAAGAGAGCUUGAUUGCAAGUCAUACAGGUCGAGCAAGGAUGAAAAGCGGACUUAGUGAUCCGGUGGUUCUGCGUGGAAGGGCCAUCGCUCAACGGAUAAAAGCUACCCUGGGGAUAACAGGCUUAUCUCCCCCAAGAGUCCACAUCG
rnacentral:rRNA from 1 species